UUUCCCAUUGAUUUGCUGCUCUGGUCUCCCCAGUGACGUGAGCAGUUAUACGCAUGGGAUAGAAGAACACUGGACCACCAUGGACGGGGGUGGAGUGGCCGUUCCAUCUCUCUUGCAUGCAUGGUCUAGACACUG